GUAGGUGGCAAGCGUUGUCCGGAAUUAUUGGGCGUAAAGCGCGCGCAGGCGGUUCUUUAAGUCUGAUGUGAAAGCCCACGGCUCAACCGUGGAGGGUCAUUGGAAACUGGAGAACUUGAGUACAGAAGAGGAAAGCGGAAUUCCACGCGCAGCGGUGAAAUGCGUAGAGAUGUGGAGGAACACCAGUGGCGAAGGCGGCUUUCUGGUCUGUAACUGACGCUGAGGCGCGAAAGCGUGGGGGAGCAAACAGGAUUAGAUACCCUGGUAGUCCACGCCGUAAACGAUGAGUGCUAAGUGUUAGGGGGUUUCCGCCCCUUAGUGCUGCAGCUAACGCAUUAAGCACUCCGCCUGGGAGUACGGCCGCAAGGCUG
rnacentral:rRNA from 1 species